rnacentral:rRNA from 1 species
UAACACAUGCAAGUCGAACGGUAACAGGAAGCAGCUUGCUGCUUCGCUGACGAGUGGCGGACGGGUGAGUAAUGUCUGGGAAACUGCCUGAUGGAGGGGGAUAACUACUGGAAACGGUAGCUAAUACCGCAUAACGUCGCAAGACCAAAGAGGGGGGCCUUCGGGCCUCUUGCCAUCGGAUGUGCCCAGAUGGGAUUAGCUAGUAGGUGGGGUAACGGCUCACCUAGGCGACGAUCCCUAGCUGGUCUGAGAGGAUGACCAGCCACACUGGAACUGAGACACGGUCCAGACUCCUACGGGAGGCAGCAGUGGGGAAUAUUGCACAAUGGGCGCAAGCCUGAUGCAGCCAUGCCGCGUGUAUGAAGAAGGCCUUCGGGUUGUAAAGUACUUUCAGCGGGGAGGAAGGCGAUAAGGUUAAUAACCUUGUCGAUUGACGUUACCCGCAGAAGAAGCACCGGCUAACUCCGUGCCAGCAGCCGCGGUAAUACGGAGGGUGCAAGCGUUAAUCGGAAUUACUGGGCGUAAAGCGCACGCAGGCGGUCUGUCAAGUCGGAUGUGAAAUCCCCGGGCUCAACCUGGGAACUGCAUUCGAAACUGGCAGGCUAGAGUCUUGUAGAGGGGGG